UCCAAAUUCUUCAACUCUCUUUUCUUUUACUCCUUCUCUCUAGAUUCCUUCAAUCUCACUUCAUCUAUUCAACAAUCAGAUCGUUCCUAAGCAAUCCGGGUGUCAAGAGCUUUCCAUUCCACUGAUUGAGUUAGUGUUUAGAGUCAGUGUUCUUAGAUUUUCCUGAGGAUCAAGCAAUUUCCUAAAGGUAUUAAAAGCUUUCUCUUCGGAUAAGAGGUGUGAGCAGAGGAUGACUGAGUGUUCUCUAGAACAGAUGCUGGAUGGAGAUGACCCAGUUGCUUAGACUAGGGCCGAUCGGUUGUGUGUAUAAUUUUGUAGGGACCGUUCGAUCAUGUGUAUAGUUUUAUAUUAUGACAGAAUUUUGUAAAGUUUUAAAUUUAUGGUUAUU